rnacentral:rRNA from 1 species
GAUGAACGCUAGCGGCAGGCUUAAUACAUGCAAGUCGAACGGUAAGGUCUCUUCGGAGAUACACGAGUGGCGCACGGGUGCGUAACGCGUAUGCAACCUACCUUUAACUGGGAGAUAGCCCCGAGAAAUCGGGAUUAAUACCCCAUACUAUUCUUUAAAUGCAUAUUUGAAGAAUGAAAGCUCCGGCGGUUAUUGAUGGGCAUGCGUGACAUUAGCUAGUUGGUGAGGUAACGGCUCACCAAGGCUACGAUGUCUAGGGGUCCUGAGAGGGUUAACCCCCACACUGGUACUGAGACACGGACCAGACUCCUACGGGUGGCUG